GUGCUCGCUUCGGCAGCGCAUAUAUUAAAUUGGAAUGAUACAGAGAAGAUUAGCAGGGCCCCUGCACAAGGAUGACACCCAAAUUCGUGAGGCAUUCCAUAUUUUU
ensembl:snRNA U6 U6 spliceosomal RNA